GAUGAACGCUGGCGGUAUGCUUAACACAUGCAAGUCGAACGGACUCUUCGGAGUUAGUGGCGGACGGGUGAGUAACGCGUGAGAAUCUGGCUUUGGGUUCGGGACAACCACUGGAAACGGUGGCUAAUACCGGAUGUGCCGAGAGGGAAAAGAGACAGUGCCUGAAGAUGAGCUCGCGUCUGAUUAGCUAGUUGGUGAGGUAAAGGCCCACCAAGGCAGCGAUCAGUAGCUGGUCUGAGAGGAUGACCAGACACACUGGGACUGAGACACGGCCGAGACUCCUGCGGGAGGGAGGAGUGGGAAAUUGUACGAAAGGGGGGAAAGCCUGACGGAGCAAUGGCGCGUGAGAGAAGAAGGCUCUUGGGUUGUAAACCUCUUGUCUUAGGGAAGAACAAAAUGACGGUACCGAAGGAAGCAGCACCGGCUAACUCCGUG
rnacentral:rRNA from 1 species